rnacentral:siRNA from 1 species
GAAACAAAACGUUGACCUGGCCAA